UCUGGUCCUUUUGUGCCCGCAGCCGCGGUAAUACGUAUGGUGCAAGCGUUAUCCGGAUUUCCUGGGUGUAAAGGGAGCGCAGGCGGUGCGGCAAGUCUGAUGUGAAAGCCCGGGGCUCAACCCCGGUACUGCAUUGGAAACUGUCGUACUAGAGUGUCGGAGGGGUAAGCGGAAUUCCUAGUGUAGCGGUGAAAUGCGUAGAUAUUAGGAGGAACACCAGUGGCGAAGGCGGCUUACUGGACGAUAACUGACGCUGAGGCUCGAAAGCGUGGGGAGCAAACAGG
rnacentral:rRNA from 1 species